AGCGUACACGGUGGAUGCCUAGGCAGUCAGAGGCGAUGAAGGGCGUGCUAAUCUGCGAAAAGCGUCGGUAAGGUGAUAUGAACCGUUAUAACCGGCGAUACCCGAAUGGGGAAACCCAGUGUGUUUCGACACACUAUCAUGUCAUGAAUACAUAGUGGCAUGAGGCGAACCGGGGGAACUGAAACAUCUAAGUACCCCGAGGAAAAGAAAUCAACCGAGAUUCCCCCAGUAGCGGCGAGCGAACGGGGAGGAGCCCAGAACCUGAAUCGGCUUGUGUGUUAGUGGAAGCGUCUGGAAAGUCGCGCAGUAAAGGGUGAUAGCCCCGUACACUAAAAUGCACAGGUCGUGAGUUCGAUGAGUAGGGCGGGACACGUGACAUCCUGUCUGAAUAUGGGGGGACCAUCCUCCAAGGCUAAAUACUCCUGACUGACCGAUAGUGAACCAGUACCGUGAGGGAAAGGCGAAAAGAACCCCGGCGAGGGGAGUGAAAUAGAACCUGAAACCGUGUACGUACAAGCAGUGGGAGCACCUUCGUGGUGUGACUGCGUACCUUUUGUAUAAUGGGUCAGCGACUUAUAUUUUGUAGCAAGGUUAACCGUAUAGGGGAGCCGUAGGGAAACCGAGUCUUAACUGGGCGAAUAGUUGCAAGGUAUAGACCCGAAACCCGGUGAUCUAGCCAUGGGCAGGUUGAAGGUUGGGUAACACUAACUGGAGGACCGAACCGACUAAUGUUGAAAAAUUAGCGGAUGACUUGUGGCUGGGGGUGAAAGGCCAAUCAAACCGGGAGAUAGCUGGUUCUCCCCGAAAGCUAUUUAGGUAGCGCCUCGUGAACUCAUCUUCGGGGGUAGAGCACUGUUUCGGCUAGGGGGCCAUCCCGGCUUACCAAACCGAUGCAAACUCCGAAUACCGAAGAAUGUUAUCACGGGAGACACACGGCGGGUGCUAACGUCCGUCGUGAAGAGGGAAACAACCCAGACCGCCAGCUAAGGUCCCAAAGUCAUGGUUAAGUGGGAAACGAUGUGGGAAGGCAUAGACAGCCAGGAUGUUGGCUUAGAAGCAGCCAUCAUUUAAAGAAAGCGUAAUAGCUCACUGGUCGAGUCGGCCUGCGCGGAAGAUGUAACGGGGCUAAACCAUGCACCGAAGCUGCGGCAGCGACGCUUUAGGCGUUGUUGGGUAGGGGAGCGUUCUGUAAGCCGUUGAAGGUGGCCUGUGAGGGUUGCUGGAGGUAUCAGAAGUGCGAAUGCUGACAUAAGUAACGAUAAAGCGGGUGAAAAGCCCGCUCGCCGGAAGACCAAGGGUUCCUGUCCAACGUUAAUCGGGGCAGGGUGAGUCGACCCCUAAGGCGAGGCUGAAAAGCGUAGUCGAUGGGAAACAGGUUAAUAUUCCUGUACUUGGUGUUACUGCGAAGGGGGGACGGAGAAGGCUAGGCUGGCCGGGCGACGGUUGUCCCGGUUUAAGCGUGUAGGGGGUGUGACCUGGUAAAUCCGGUUGCAUAUCAACCCUGAGGCGUGAUGACGAUGCACUACGGUGCAGAAGUAGUUGAUGCCCUGCUUCCAGGAAAAUCCUCUAAGCUCCAGGUAACAUUAAAUCGUACCCCAAACCGACACAGGUGGUCAGGUAGAGAAUACCAAGGCGCUUGAGAGAACUCGGGUGAAGGAACUAGGCAAAAUGGUGCCGUAACUUCGGGAGAAGGCACGCUGGCAUGUAGGUGAAGUCCCUUGCGGAUGGAGCUGAAGCCAGUCGAAGAUACCAGCUGGCUGCAACUGUUUAAUAAAAACACAGCACUGUGCAAACACGAAAGUGGACGUAUACGGUGUGACGCCUGCCCGGUGCUGGAAGGUUAAUUGAUGGGGUCAGCCGCAAGGCGAAGCUCUUGAUCGAAGCCCCAGUAAACGGCGGCCGUAACUAUAACGGUCCUAAGGUAGCGAAAUUCCUUGUCGGGUAAGUUCCGACCUGCACGAAUGGCGUAAUGAUGGCCAGGCUGUCUCCACCCGAGACUCAGUGAAAUUGAACUCGCUGUGAAGAUGCAGUGUACCCGCGGCAAGACGGAAAGACCCCGUGAACCUUUACUAUAGCUUGACACUGAACAUUGAGCCUUGAUGUGUAGGAUAGGUGGGAGGCUUUGAAGCGUGGACGCCAGUCUGCGUGGAGCCAUCCUUGAAAUACCACCCUUUAAUGUUUGAUGUUCUAACUCGGCCCCAUAAUCUGGGGUGAGGACAGUGUCUGGUGGGUAGUUUGACUGGGGCGGUCUCCUCCCAAAGAGUAACGGAGGAGCACGAAGGUUAGCUAAUCACGGUCGGACAUCGUGAGGUUAGUGCAAAGGCAUAAGCUAGCUUGACUGCGAGAGUGACGGCUCGAGCAGGUACGAAAGUAGGUCUUAGUGAUCCGGUGGUUCUGAAUGGAAGGGCCAUCGCUCAACGGAUAAAAGGUACUCCGGGGAUAACAGGCUGAUACCGCCCAAGAGUUCAUAUCGACGGCGGUGUUUGGCACCUCGAUGUCGGCUCAUCACAUCCUGGGGCUGAAGUAGGUCCCAAGGGUAUGGCUGUUCGCCAUUUAAAGUGGUACGCGAGCUGGGUUUAGAACGUCGUGAGACAGUUCGGUCCCUAUCUGCCGUGGGCGUUGGAAGAUUGAGAGGGGUUGCUCCUAGUACGAGAGGACCGGAGUGAACGCACCACUGGUGUUCGGGUUGUCAUGCCAAUGGCAUUGCCCGGUAGCUAAGUGCGGAAAAGAUAAGCGCUGAAAGCAUCUAAGCGCGAAACUUGCCUCAAGAUGAGUCUUCCCUGGGCCUUCAAGGCCCCUGAAGGAACGUUUAAGACUAAGACGUUGAUAGGCUGGGUGUGUAAGUGCAGCGAUGCAUUGAGCUAACCAGUACUAAUGAUCCGUGAGGCUUAACC
rnacentral:rRNA from 1 species